GUAUAAGUUUACCGACGCUUUGUUAAGGCGAAGAUAUUGAAUGACAUUCUGUGAGACAUGCAAUGGGUUGAUGAUAAAGACGUAGGGGCCUUUGUUACGGGCCCUUACAUUGGGUUCACAGGUGUAUGUGGAUUUAAAGGCUCGGGCGUGCACAUGCCUCGAAAGGCCAGCAUCAACCCUCACCGAUGAUUUCAAUAAUGAUCCUUCCGCAGGUUCACCUACGGAAA
rnacentral:misc_RNA from 1 species